rnacentral:lncRNA from 1 species
AUGCUCGUCUGAUCUUUCACUGCUCCAAUAGCUUGUCUGAUCUUGCUCUGGGACAUUGUAUCUGUUAAUUUUAUAUGCAGCUCUAAUUGAAUUGCAGGAGAGAAGUUUCAACCUGAAUGGUAUUCAAUAGAACAGUGAAUAUUGCUACAUACAUUUCUGCAUUAUAUAUAAUUAUAAUGGAUGUUAUAAUUAAUAAUUAAUAUCUGCAUUUGUAUGUAAUUUGGCAGGCCUUCAUUUUGUACUGGGAUCUGGAAUGCAUCAACACAAGAAUGAACAUGCAAUGGGAAGAGUUUAGAAGUGCAUGCAUGUAUUUACCUCAACAGGAGGAUAAGCCAAACGAUGUAUGUCCGGAAUUGAUCAAAAUAAAUAGUGACGAAAUUAAUAUCAUUCUGUACAAAACACUUCUAUUCAGACUGUAAUUAAUUUAUUUUUUGUUCAAAAAAAAAAGUGAAGAGAAGACGGAGGGAGGCUUUCUAUCUCCCUAUCCUUGUUAGCCUGUGUCAUUUCCUCUUCCAAAAUUUUCCAACUCUACCGUGCAUAAUCCUCUUUUUCA